AAUUCUCAACCUUUCAAGCUUUUUUGUUGAAGCUCUGUCAGGCUUGGAUUUUGGGAGUGUGCUGGUUCUUAGACAGUCAGCUCUCCUUAAAUGUAUUAGCAAGAUUAAUCGCUGAAUCACCUUUGAUAUGAUAAUUAUCUAUAUCAUUGAUGAACCGGUGUUUUCCUUCCAAGGAAAAAAUCUGGCUUCUAAUUGUCUUUUAAAGACACUUGUUUCAAUC
rnacentral:misc_RNA from 1 species